rnacentral:misc_RNA from 1 species
GAAAUGCGAUAAGUAAUGUGAAUUGCAGAAUCCCGUGAACCAUCGAGUCUUUGAACGCAAGUUGCGCCCGAAGCCCUCGUGGCCAGGGCACGUCUGCCUGGGUGUCACGCAUCGCGUCGCCCCAGCCCCCCCGCGGGGGGGCGAGGGGCGGAGAAUGGCCCCCCGUGCGUCACGGCGCGCGGCCGGCCUAAACGCAGGCCCCUUGGGCGCGAGAGGGCGCGACGACUGGUGGUGUGCGCGCGGCCCCGUGCCGCCGAGCAUCGCGUCGCGUCUUGCGCGGUCAGCGGGCGAUGGAAGGAGCCCCGAAACCGUUGCGACCCCAGAUCAGGCGGGACCACCCGCUGAGUUUAA